GCAUCUAGUUUCUCCAUUAUCUCUUUCAUCCUUUUCCCAAUUUUGUGACGGAAAUUGAUAAUUCCUGGAUGAAAAAACCCUAAUCGAGAUUGCUCGAAUAUUGUUGCCUCACUUUUACAUUCGUCCAAUAUGUCAUCGACUUCAUACGCAGCACCAUUGAAUUUCUGCAACCAAUUCUCUAUUGCCUUGUCCUUCAAUUUCUUCUCUUGAGCAUCUUCAAG
rnacentral:misc_RNA from 1 species